AUGGUGGUUGUGCUUUCUGCUGUGUUGACUGAUAGAUUUCUUAGAGGUUUGUUCAGAGUGCAGGAGGUUUUUGUACGGCCACUUAAUGAGUUUGUAUCACUGUGGUGGACUUUUGGUGGAGGAACCAAACUCAUCGUUGACUCGGGUGUGGUGAGGCCCACCCUCACUGUCCUCCCUCAAUCCAAAGAUGAAGAGAAGCAGUGCAGUGCCACUCUCGUCUGUUUGGCCACCGGCGGCUUCCCCUCAAACUGGAAGCUGGGCUGGAAGGUGGGGAGCACCAGCACAUCCUCAGGUGUGUCAAGCAGCCUGGAGGUCUUGGGGACAGACGGUCGCUACAGCUGGAGCAGUACCCUGAGCCUCUCUGCAGACCAGUGGAGGAAGGCGGGCUCAGUGAGCUGUGAGGCCAGUCUGAGUGGACAGAGCCCCGUCACUCAAAGCCUGGACCCUGACCACUGCUCAGAGUAGAGCUUCAGCAACACUUCCUGUCUGCAAAUAAUACUUUGCAGACAGGAAGUGUUGCUGAAGUAAUGUGUUUCCUCUGUUGCAAUAUUUCUGAAAAAAAUUAAUUCUCUAUUGAUGUGCAUGCAGAUUUCAAUCUUAUCCAUAUUCUGCUUUAAAAAUAUACUGUUAAAAAAAAAAGUCAUAACAAAAUAAAAGCUUUUGAAAAAUAUAUUUUUUGUUAUCCUUUUGCCAAUACUUUAUUACACAUAAAUGCAUAAUAAACCCUCAUAUUUAUUUCCAAAAUAUGGACAGUUUUGAAGUCCAGUAAAUCUUAUAUAACAGUUCAUUGUUUUUUUUAUAUAAUAGUAUUAAGCAUAACAUUUUCAUUAGAAAACAUGUACCAGGUUAGCAUUUUAUGCUGUAAAUAUAAAAAUAUAAUAGUUUCUAUCUUUGCACCUAUGUUAAUAACCAACCUGAACA